rnacentral:lncRNA from 1 species
UCAACUUUUUCCCUUUGAUAUUUCUAGAUAUUUGUCUAACAAUCUUGAACAAAAUGUUUGAAAUAAUCUGUCUUAAUACUCAUGAAAUAUUUUUAUGUUAUGUACAAAGUAUAUGUAUGGCUGUAUUUGAACAAAUACAUGUAUAAGGCAGCCUAUGGUUACCCAAAUCAAACUAUCAAAACCAUGGGUAACUUAAGGUGGUAUCUAACACUUUAACUAAAUUUAAUUUGGCUCAUUUAAUUUUCUUAAUAUUUUGACAAAUUAUUUACUUUGACCCUUUGACAAAAAUAUAAAAAUUUGAACCAACCGAAAAAUUACACUGGUUAUAUAGCAGUUUGACAAACACUUAUUUUGAUCAUUGAGAAGCUUGAUAUUCCCUUAUGAACACAAUGUCAUUAAAACAUUCUGCUGAUUUUACAGAGUUAUCUCCCUGUAGUGUUAGGUACCACCUUAAGGGUGUGAAUUUAUCAGUAAGAAUUGGCUGUCUUAUGUGUAUAUCUAACACAGUGUUGAUUAUUCCUAUUUUCAUAUGCAUGUAUUUUAACCACCAGUAAAAGAGAACAAUAUUUACGGUAUGUGAUUGUUGUUCUUCAUUUGUACAUAUAUUAUGUAUUGUACACCUUUUGUAUCAGGACAUUUUUUUUAUUUUUAUAUUCCUAAUUUGUAUUUUUUUGGUAAUUGAA